GGCAUAAUUCAUACAAGUAGAUGGGGCAGCUACACAGUAGCAAUGCCUGGGUCGAGACGCGCAAACGGGAGUAGAACAUCGUCAGAACCUCCGUUGUAGCGGGGGAUACCCCAGAGAAAUGCUAAUAAUGCCUCCUAGUAUUUUCGAAAGCUUCAUUUGGUAAUUAAAGAUUCGUCAGGUGCAGAUGACGUCAGAUAAGAUUAGGUAGUUGGUGAGGUAUCGGCCCACCAAGCAUGCGAUCAUUAUCUGAUAUGAGAGCCAGACCCGUCACGCGUGCGACGCGACACAGACUCGUCUCGUACGCGACACAGCAGUAAGGAAUACAAGUCAAUCGACCCAAGUCCGACCCAGCCAUGCCCAGGGAAGGAUGAAGGUCCUUUUGAUUGUAAACUUUUUUUAUCGAGGAGGAUAAAAUUGAUUUCUUUGUCUUCUGACGGUACCAGAUGAAUAAGCACCGGCUAACUCCGUGCCAGCAGCCGCGGUAAUACGGAGGGUGCAAGCGUUAUUCGGAUUUACUGGGUUUAAAGGGUGCGUAGGCGGGUAUGUAAGUCAGUGGUGAAAUCUCCGAGCUUAACUCUGGAAACUGCCAUUGAUACUGCAGAUCUUGAGUGCGGCAGAGGUGGGCGGAAUACGUCGUGUAGCGGUGAAAUGCGUAGAUAUGACGUAGAACACCGAUUGCGAAGGCAGUCUCCACUGGGCCUGUACUGACGCUCAGGCACGAAAGCGUGGGGAUCAAACAGGAUUAGAUACCCUGGUAGUCCACGCCCUAAACGAUGAUUACUCGAUGUUGGCUAUCCUCAGACUCAGUCUCAACGCAAGCGCUAGAUAAUCCCCCUGGGGAGUACAACGGCGAGGAGGGAGACUCUCAGGAGAUGAGAGGGGUCCCCACACGCGCUGGAGAAUAUGGGUUUAUUCUAUGAGACGCGAGGAAACUUAUCUGGACUUUAGUGCUGGCAGAACGUUUCCAAAAAAGCAUUUUGGCUCGAAAGACUACCUGCACGGUGCUGCUUGGUGGUUGUCGUCUCCUGCCGUGAGGAGAUG
rnacentral:rRNA from 1 species